rnacentral:tRNA from 1 species
AGCUAACUUGGUGUAACAAGCACAUUGACCUUUCAUGCCAAAAGAGCAAACUAUUGCAUUUAGCUU